rnacentral:tRNA from 1 species
GGACCAAUAGCUCAGUUGGUUAGAGCGUCACAUUGACAUUGUGAAGGUCAGAGGUUCGAAUCCUCUUUGGUCCA